rnacentral:rRNA from 1 species
CAGCAGCCGCGGUAAUACGUAGGGUGCAAGCGUUAAUCGGAAUUACUGGGCGUAAAGCGUGCGCAGGCGGUUAUAUAAGACAGAUGUGAAAUCCCCGGGCUCAACCUGGGAACUGCAUUUGUGACUGUAUAGCUAGAGUACGGCAGAGGGGGAUGGAAUUCCGCGUGUAGCAGUGAAAUGCGUAGAUAUGCGGAGGAACACCGAUGGCGAAGGCAAUCCCCUGGGCCUGUACUGACGCUCAUGCACGAAAGCGUGGGGAGCAAACAGGAUUAGAUACCCCUGUAGUCCCUGUCUUUAUACA